GAGGGCAUAGCUCAGUGGUAGAGUGCGUACCUAGCAUGCAUGAGGUCCUGGGUUCAGUCCCCACUGCCUCCA
rfam:Camelus ferus unplaced genomic scaffold scaffold880, whole genome shotgun sequence.